UUCAACCUUCCAUUGGCAGCGGCCUCUUCCAUCGAGCAGCGUCUUCAACUUUCCAUCGAGCGGGUCAUCUUCCAUUGGCAGCGUCUUCAGCCUUCCAUCGAGCAACGUCUUCAAAUAGUUUCCAAGAUAGAAGGUAUGAAUACAAAGGUCUUAAUAAGGUCUGGAAGGGGAAAUUAGCUGAGGCAAAGGCUAGUGGGAAUUUUAUAAGGAUUCAUGAAGCACAUAAUUGCUUCGUGCCCUCUGCUUUUUAUGGACGCCAGUGGCUUGUCUUCUUUGGUUUGGCUUAUCUGGAGCUAGGAGUGGUAGUUUUGACCACUAUACAUAAAGCAGUUGUUCCAUUGCGGAGUCUAAGUGCAAUGUCCAAGCUAUUCAUCAGGUGGUUUUGACCAUGUCAUGAAAGUAAAUCUGGUUCAUUCAGCAGGUGGGCUAUAAUCUUAGAAGCAGUUGGAUGGGUAAAGACACUUCAACCAAGUUUGUUCAGCCGUAUUUUUGUUUCAUAAACUGUGGCCCACCUGAUGAGUGGACCAACCUGAUUCUUGGGGAAUAGCAUCUAGGUAGAGUCUCCACUCUAAUGAAUAAAUUGGAUCUCAUAGAAAAUUUGCCAUGCUGGCAGAUGUCUGGCAUGUACAUGAGCUGCCUUAUACAUGCCUGUGCUGACCAAAACCCACAGUACCGAAAGGCAAGAAAGAAAAAAGAUAAGGAUCUUUGCUUGCUUGCAUUUGUCCUUGCUUUGGCUGCAUUUGUUCUUGGGCUAUUGGAAGAUAAGCCUUUUGUUGGUGCAUCUGUUGGUUACUUCUCAUUCCUUUUUCUUCUUGCUGGGAGAGCAUUGACUGUGCUUCUUUCACCUCCCAUUGUCGUCUAUUCUCCAAGAGUUCUACCGGUGUAUGUUUAUGAUGCUCAUGCUGAUUGUGCCAAAAAUGUCAGGUCAAGUGGUGGACAUGGGACUAACAACUACAUCCUUACUGAAUUCUGAGAAGUUUCCUGUCAUAGUCCCGAAUUCAUUAUUUUCCAGUCAGGUAUCCAUUUGGUCAUGAGGAAUUUGUUGUUUGUGAGGACAUUGAUCAGGUAAGUUUCAGUGGAAAUUGCAUGAAAACAUUGUGAGAAAGCACCAUUGAUUUUCUCAUGUGUGGUUUAAGGUCGCAGACAUAAACAGAGAACAAUGGAAUCACUCUAGAUGGAACCUGCUUAUCUGGAUUCUCCUCAUCUAAAUCAUUCAUAAAAUUGUACUUUGAAGGAUUUUGUUUUCAUAUUUGUCAUUGAUGAUGCUUCUCUCUAUUUCUUUAAAGACAGCUGUUGGGGACAUUAGAGGUAAUUCAUUGCAAUUAUGCUCCAAUAUUGGAUGGUUUUUUUUUUUCUUGGCAACUGCUUCAGGCAUGUUCAGAGUUUACACUACUUGAUGAAUGGUCAGAUCUUUGGCAUGUGUGCUGUCUAAUGGUGGGAAUCAUUUUUGCAUUUUUGCUAUCUGAUGAAUGGUCAAAUUAGAACACAAAUUGCAUUUUUGCAGGCAAUCAAGAUUGCUUUCAAAGUUGAAAUCAUGCAAUUUUUAGGUUUUUCAUAGUUUUUUAUUUUUAUUAUUUUUAUUAUAGUUCAGACAUGGUGAUUUUGGACUCCAGAUUUUGCCUUUAGUAGAAAUUGUGGGUUUGGAUGCAAAUUAGAGCACAGAUUGCAGUUUUGCAGGGCAUUGACCAACUAUGGCAAAAUUUAGGCCCACGAGUACAGAAGCCUUUUCUACAGUCAUCAAACCAGUUUCAGAUUUUGACACCACAGUAGCAGCAGCAGCUCCUGGCACAGGCUCAGGCGCUGGGAAGUCUUGGGAGCUCACCUAAUUAUGGAGAUUUGGAUCCUCGAAGAUUUAGGCUUUUACCUAGGGGUAGCUUGAAUGGGAAAGAUGGUCAGCCCACAGGAAAUGAUGGUUCUGUAGGCUCCCCAAUUCAAUCAAGUUCACCAAAGGUCAGAUUAGGUCCACAGGAUCAAGCAGAAUUUCUCGUGAAGAUGAAGAUCUCCCAGAUGAAUCAGUCCUCCGCUCAGCAACAACAGGACCACCUACAGCAGCAGCAACAAUUACAACAGGUUGUGGACUUAUAUCCUAAAAAAUUUUCAACGGUAAGAGUUUAAUUCUCAUUGUG